rnacentral:rRNA from 1 species
UACGUAGGGUGCAAGCGUUGUCCGGAAUUAUUGGGCGUAAAGAGCUCGUAGGCGGUCUGUUGCGUCUGCUGUGAAAACUCGGGGCUUAACCCCGAGCCUGCAGUGGAUACGGGCAGACUAGAGGUAGGUAGGGGAGAAUGGAAUUCCCGGUGUAGCGGUGAAAUGCGCAGAUAUCGGGAGGAACACCGGUGGCGAAGGCGGUUCUCUGGGCCUUACCUGACGCUGAGGAGCGAAAGCGUGGGGAGCGAACAGG